UUUGAUUAAUACCAUUUUGUCAAUGCCCAAUCUCGUCUCGAUCUUUGAGGCUAAGCAGGGUAAGGCCUGGUUACUACUUGGAUGGGUAAUACCAGGUGCCACAG
rnacentral:rRNA from 1 species